CGUGAGAUGUUGGGUUAAGUCCGUAACGAGCGCAACCCUUGUCCUUAGUUACCAGCACGUUAUGGUGGGCACUCUAAGGAGACUGCCGGUGACAAACCGGAGGAAGGUGGGGAUGACGUCAAGUCAUCAUGGCCCUUACGGCCUGGGCUACACACGUGCUACAAUGGUCGGUACAAAGGGUUGCCAAGCCGCGAGGUGGAGCUAAUCCCAUAAAAACCGAUCGUAGUCCGGAUCGCAGUCUGCAACUCGACUGCGUGAGGUCGGAAUCGCUAGUAAUCGUGAAUCAGAAUGUCACGGUGAAUACGUUCCCGGGCCUU
rnacentral:rRNA from 1 species